rnacentral:rRNA from 1 species
CAGCACCUCAAGUGGUCAGGAGGAUUAUUGGGCCUAAAGCAUCCGUAGCCUGUUCUAUAAGUUUCCGGUUAAAUCCAUUAGCUCAACUAAUGGGCCGCCGAAAAUACUGUGGAACUAGGGAGUGGGAGAGGUAGACGGUACUCGGUAGGAAGGGGUAAAAUCCUUUGAUCUAUUGAUGACCACCUGUGGCGAAGGCGGUCUACCAGAACACGUUCGACGGUGAGGGAUGAAAGCUGGGGGAGCAAACCGGAUUAGAUACCCGGGGUAGUCCCAGCUGUAAACGAUGCAGACUCGGUGAUGCGCUGGCUUGUGGCCAGUGCAGUGCCGCAGGGAAGCCGUUAAGUUUGCCGCCUGGGAAGUACGUACGCAAGUAUG